rnacentral:rRNA from 1 species
GACGAACGCUGGCGGCGUGCUUAACACAUGCAAGUCGAACGGAAAGGCCCUGCUUUUGUGGGGUGCUCGAGUGGCGAACGGGUGAGUAACACGUGAGUAACCUGCCCUUGACUUUGGGAUAACUUCAGGAAACUGGGGCUAAUACCGGAUAGGAGCUCCUGCUGCAUGGUGGGGGUUGGAAAGUUUCGGCGGUUUGGGAUGGACUCGCGGCUUAUCAGCUUGUUGGUGGGGUAGUGGCUUACCAAGGCUUUGACGGGUAGCCGGCCUGAGAGGGUGACCGGCCACAUUGGGACUGAGAUACGGCCCAGACUCCUACGGGAGGCAGCAGUGGGGAAUAUUGCACAAUGGGCGGAAGCCUGAUGCAGCAACGCCGCGUGCGGGAUGACGGCCUUCGGGUUGUAAACCGCUUUGGCCGGUGACGAAGCGUGAGUGACGGUAAUGGGUAAAGAAGCACCGGCUAACUACGUG